rnacentral:tRNA from 1 species
GCGUCUGUAGCUCAGCAGGUACGAGCAACCGACUGUUGAUCGGGAGGUCCCAAGUUCGAGUCUUGGCAGAUGCG